UACGAGGUGGAAAUGUAGGUCAAU
rnacentral:piRNA from 1 species